UACGUAGGGUGCAAGCGUUGCUCGGAAUUACUGGGCGUAAAGCGCACGUAGGCGGAUCGUUAAGUCGGGGGUGAAAUCCUGGAGCUCAACUCCAGAACUGCCUUCGAUACUGGCGAUCUCGAGUUCGGGAGAGGUGAGUGGAACUGCGAGUGUAGAGGUGAAAUUCGUAGAUAUUCGCAAGAACACCAGUGGCGAAGGCGGCUCACUGGCCCGAUACUGACGCUGAGGUGCGAAAGCGUGGGGAGCAAACAGG
rnacentral:rRNA from 1 species